rfam:Ovis aries breed Texel chromosome 5, whole genome shotgun sequence.
UAGCUCAGUCAGUAAAGAAUCUGCCUGCAAUGCAGGAGACCCGGGUUCGAUUCCUGG